AGCACACACACACACACAGCAGUGUGUGUAUGUGUGUAUAUAUGUGUAUGUAUAUAUAUAUAUAUAUAUAUAUAUAUACAUGCACAUAUAUACAUACAUACAUAUAUAUAUAUGCGGCGUGUGCUUGUGCUUU